rnacentral:lncRNA from 1 species
GUUGUUCAUGCAAUGCAAUCCAUAAACUUUGGACUUCCACUUCAAUUGGUAAGAUUAUUUUUUGCUCAUAAACCAAUUUAAACAAGAUAGAAUUGGUUAUUACUUAUAUGUUGUACGAUACGCCCAUAAAACUACAAAUAAUUUGGUAUCCCAAUCAGUGUCUACCUUCGAAAUAGUCUUAAUCUUCCGGUAUGCACCAAAAAGAACUAAAUUUGUGGUCGGCAUCAUAUUACUUCUUCAAUAAUGUCUUCUUCAAAAUCCAAUUUUUCUUCCUUAUACUAAGAUAGAUCAAAUUCUUCUUCAAUAUCUUCGAGGACUAGCUCUUGAUCUCGUUGUUUAAAAAGUUUUAUAUAUUU